UACGGGGGGGGGCAAGCGUUGUUCGGAAUUAUUGGGCGUAAAGCGCGCGUAGGCGGCUUUGUAAGUUAGAGGUGAAAGCCCGGAGCUCAACUCCGGAACUGCCUUUAAGACUGCAUCGCUUGAAUCCAGGAGAGGUGAGUGGAAUUCCGAGUGUAGAGGUGAAAUUCGUAGAUAUUCGGAAGAACACCAGUGGCGAAGGCGGCUCACUGGGACUGGUAUUGACGCUGAGGUGCGAAAGCG
rnacentral:rRNA from 1 species